UACGUAGGUCCCGAGCGUUGUCCGGAUUAAUUGGGCGUAAAGCGAGCGCAGGUGGUUUAAUAAGUCUGAUGUAAAAGGCAGUGGCUCAACCAUUGUGUGCAUUGGAAACUGUUAGACUUGAGUGCAGUAGAGGAGAGUGGAAUUCCAUGUGUAGCGGUGAAAUGCGUACAUAUAUGGAGGAACACCGGUGGCGAAAGCGGCUCUCUGGCCUGUAACUGACCCUGAGGCUCGAAAGCGUGGGGAGCAACCAGG
rnacentral:rRNA from 1 species